GAAUGACGGCUUUCGGUGAUUAUCCGGCGGAGUACAACCCGAAGGUCCACAGACCUUACUACGACAAGACGGAUACGCCCUUGGGCCAGGUGAAGUUGAACGAAUUGGGUG
rfam:Aedes aegypti strain Liverpool supercont1.41 genomic scaffold, whole genome shotgun sequence.